GCCCCUUGGAAGCCAAGAAUAUGAGGAAGUCUUCUUCCUUCGCGCCUUCUUCUUCCUUACGCUCCAGGGCAGCCUGACAGAGCCGCUCGAAGGCUCUGCUGGCCGCGGCUAGCCGGUUUACCCAUUCCACUGGACCCAGCCACCACCCACUCCUGCUGUCUGAGGCUACAGGAGACCAGAGCCAUUGACUUUUAUUUUUAAAAUGAAGAUCUCUUUUACUUGAAGGAACUUAAGAAUUUUGGCAUUCAAAUAGGGGCUGGAAGACUUGAAAGCAGUAGAAAUUUCACCACAGGUGAUAGGAAAGGAUGAUCACGAAAUGAAUAUCUCCUGACUUGCACACCUAGUGAGCAGAGCCAGGAAGGACCUCCUUCACCUUAGCAUUUGGAACAGGCUGCAAAGUUCAUUCUUCCUCAUAGCAGCCCCUGCAUUCAGUUUGGUUUAGUUGUUUUAUGUGGUUUCUAGCCUGAUUUUUUUUUUCAGGGUGCAGCAGAAGUCUCAGGUAGCUGAGAAGUUCAUGGAAUCUUCUUAUUUGCUACACCUUUCACUACUGCUUGUGAUAUAGUGCAGGGUUGGGAUGUGCAGACAUUUCUCAAGUGCACUGUGUACCUACACAGCAUGCUGCAAUUUGGCUACUGAAGUCAAGAGAAACUGGUUUGAACAACUACUGAGUGUAACAUAGGAAGCGCAUUUCAUUUGAUAACAGGAACACAGCUUUUGUGCUAAUAAAAUGCUUUGAAAAUUAGUGUGUGGUCUUUAGUAAUUAGCAUAUACAUUUUAGUUAUCCAUUGGUUCAUAACAAACGGACUAAAUAGGUACCCCACUGAGUCAUUUAUCUAAAUGAAAAGUUUGGUUAAAUUGUAGUUGUAGGCAUUGAUCAAAGCUAAUGGGAAAAAGAGAUUAAGAUGAAAAUCAUGGGAUUAAAUUUUUAAUUAGUUUG
rnacentral:lncRNA from 1 species